CGAGCAAUCUGCCCUUCUCAUCGGAAUAAGCGUUGGAAACGACGUCUAAUGCCGAAUACGACCUCCUUUCGCAUGAUCGGAGGUGGAAAGCUCCGGCGGAGAAGGAUGAGCUCGCGGCCUAUCAGCUAGUUGGUGUGGGUAAUGGCCCACCAAGGCGACGACGGGUAGCCGGCCUGAGAGGGUGACCGGCCACACUGGGACUGAGACACGGCCCAGACUCCUACGGGAGCAG
rnacentral:rRNA from 1 species